AGACGACUUCGGAGGGCCCAGGGUCCUUUGAGCUCCUAGAGGUCCCGUGUGGAACCAUCUGGAAGAGGUGAUCACCAGAACGCACCUUUGGAUGCUGCAGCAAAAAGUCCACGACUUCUUCAAAGUACUCCAGAUGUACAUCAUUCAGAUCUUCGGGGAGGUCUUCAAAUCUGAAAUAAGCCAGGGCAAGCACAGCAAAACCAUGUCCGGCCAGGAGGCUGGCCCUGUAUUCACAAAGGCCCCCGCCGCUCCCAAACAGAUCAAUGAUCCCAGGAAAGGGCCCCCUGCCUGGAGAACAUCACAAAUCACAAGGAGCUUUAGUUUCUCAAAAGACAGUAAGCAAACAAGUUUUUGAAGCCAAGGAGAUUGGGGGUAGAGAGAUUGGCAGAGAAAGAACAAAAUGUCUUAUUUUCUCAAACAAUAAUGAUAAUAUAGAGGGAUAAAAACCUACAUAUUGGGUACAAUGUAUACUACUCAGGCGACAGGUGCACUAAAAUCUCAGCGUUCAUCACUGUACAGUUCAUCCAUGUAACCCCAAACCACCUGUACACCAAAAGGUAUUGAAAUUAAAAAAAAUUUUUUUUUUUUACAGUCUCACUCUGUCGCCCAGGCUGAAGUGCAGUGGUGCAAUCUCAGCUCACUACAACCUCUGCCUCCUGGGUUCAAGCAAUUCUCCUGCCUCAGCCCCCCAAGUAUCUGGAAUUACAGACAUGCAACAGACACCCAGCUAAUUUUUUUGUAUUUUUAGUAGAGACUGGGUUUCGCCAUGUUGGCCAGGCUGGUCUUGAACUCCUGACCUCAGGUGAUCUGCCCACCUUGGCCUCCCAAAGUGCUGGGAUUACAGGUGUGAGCCACUGCAACCGGCCUAAAACUUUUUAAUGAUA
rnacentral:lncRNA from 1 species